rnacentral:lncRNA from 1 species
UACUUACAUUUAUGGUCGUAUAACCAUGCUUGCUUCGAGAGGAGUCCGUACUUCCACUCCUCCUUGGGGAAAUUGUCAAAAAGUUCCAUCAUUUCCAUUUCUCUUUCUUCAGAAAUGUCUCCAAAGUCAGCAGAGAUCUUCUCGUCAGUGGCCCAGUUCGGUAGGGAAGAGAUUUCGGGGCCUUUGACGUAGAACCACUUUUCAUGCCAGCCCCUGUUGCUCGAAGGCGUGUUCACCAGCGAACGCCUCUCGAACUUCUCUCCUGACUUCGGAGAAUGCUUGCUAAUGGCCUUGAACCCCUUCUCCCUAGAUUGUACUAUUUUGUAUAUUGUGAAGAAGGAGUCCAGGGAGGGCUCCACGCCCAAUUCAUGACAGAAGGCCACGAAGGCCAAGAUGUGGAUGUAUGAGUUCGGUACUAGUUGAGCGAACCCCACCCCAGAAACCCCAGCAGGGUUACUAUGAAGAUAUGCAAAGGGAAACGAACCCCCUUCUCCAAUAGAGUCACAGAAACGGCCGUCCAACCUUCUGGCCGUUGGUACAUCUUCUCACCGGAUCUAGGAACCCUAGCUGCGUGGGUAUCCGGGAUGUGGUAUCGAGACCGAAUCCUCUUUAGUUCAGCCUCUGUGACAAUCGAGGGAGUAUUGGCGUGCGAGAAUCGCUCAGUAUUCCUGUAGUAUUCGGAGGGGGUUUUGGGAUUUAUUGGGAGAGGGUUCUUAUCAGAUUUCGACCCCUUUGGGUUCAGUGUCGAGGCUCCUUCAUGAGCAGCGGUGGUAGGAUUUGGUGGAACGGCUGUGAGUGGGGUUACCAAU